rnacentral:lncRNA from 1 species
CCUUAAAGAUGUUUCUACAAUAUAUUUCAGAUUUAAUCUAAUCAAGUCUGACUCUAUGGGUUUACUAGAUUAUGUCAAUUCUUCUACCAAUCGAACCUCAUCAAAUUCAAUGUUUGAGGCAUUAGUUCCUUCUCCAAAGAACUCCUCUUCUAGAAAGACUGCUUUAUUACUGACGAACACCUUCUGCUCAUUAGCAUGAUAGAAGUAAUACCCCUUGAUCUCUUUUGGAUACCUUACAAAUAGACACUUGUAAGAUCUAGGUCCAAGCUUGUCAGUUUUCAAAUAUUUAACAUAAGCCGGACAUCCUCAAACCCUA